rnacentral:tRNA from 1 species
GCGCCUGUAGCUCAGUCGGAUAGAGCACCAGAUUCCUAAUCUGGGUGUCGCGCGUUCGAGUCGCGCCAGGCGCA